GAAAUGCGAUAAGUAGUGUGAAUUGCAGAAUUCAGUGAAUCAUCGAAUCUUUGAACGCACAUUGCGCCCCUUGGUAUUCCAUGGGGCAUGCCUGUUCGAGCGUCAUUUGUACCUUCAAGCUUUGCUUGGUGUUGGGUGUUUGUCUCGCCUCUGCGUGUAGACACGCCUCAAAACAAUUGGCAGCCGGCGUAUUGAUUUCGGAGCGCAGUACAUCUCGCGCUUUGCACUCAUAACGACGACGUCCAAAAGUACAUUUUUACACUCUUGACCUCGGAUCAGGUAGGGAUACCCGCUGAACUUAAGC
rnacentral:misc_RNA from 1 species